rnacentral:rRNA from 1 species
GUUCGAUUAGCUAGUUGGUGGGGUAACGGCUCACCAAGGCGACGAUCGAUAGCUGUUCUGAGAGGAAGAUCAGCCACACUGGGACUGAGACACGGCCCAGACUCCUACGGGAGGCAGCAGUUGGGAAUCUUGGACAAUGGGGGAAACCCUGAUCCAGCCAUGCCGCGUGAGUGAUGAAGGCCUUCGGGUUGUAAAACUCUUUCGCGCACGACGAUAAUGACGGUAGUGCGAGAAGAAGCUCCGGCUAACUUCGUGCCAGCAGCCGCGGUAAUACGAAGGGGGCUAGCGUUGUUCGGAAUUACUGGGCGUAAAGCGCGCGUAGGCGGUCUUCCAAGUCAGUGGUGAAAGCCCGGAGCUCAACUCCGGAACUGCCAUUGAAACUGUUAGACUUGAGUAUGAGAGAGGUGAGUGGAAUUCCCAGUGUAGAGGUGAAAUUCGUAGAUAUUGGGAAGAACACCGGUGGCGAAGGCGGCUCACUGGCUCAUUACUGACGCUCAGGCGCGACAGCGUGGGGAUCA